rnacentral:pre_miRNA from 7 species
UUAUGAAUGAAAAUGAAAGAACCUAGUGGGGAAACCCCCACUCAAUUCCCAAUUCGGCGUGCACCCAAGAAUCACGAACAGAACG